rnacentral:piRNA from 1 species
UUCUGUUCUCAUCUCCUCUGCUGUAUC